rnacentral:rRNA from 2 species
CCGGGUUGCGGACAGUGUCUGGUGGGUAGUUUGACUGGGGCGGUCUCCUCCUAAAGAGUAACGGAGGAGCACGAAGGUUGGCUAAUCCUGGUCGGACAUCAGGAGGUUAGUGCAAUGGCAUAAGCCAGCUUGACUGCGAGCGUGACGGCGCGAGCAGGUGCGAAAGCAGGUCAUAGUGAUCCGGUGGUUCUGAAUGGAAGGGCCAUCGCUCAACGGAUAAAAGGUACUCCGGGGAUAACAGGCUGAUACCGCCCAAGAGUUCAUAUCGACGGCGGUGUUUGGCACCUCGAUGUCGGCUCAUCACAUCCUGGGGCUGAAGUAGGUCCCAAGGGUAUGGCUGUUCGCCAUUUAAAGUGGUACGCGAGCUGGGUUUAGAACGUCGUGAGACAGUUCGGUCCCUAUCUGCCGUGGGCGCUGGAGAACUGAGGGGGGCUGCUCCUAGUACGAGAGGACCGGAGUGGACGCAUCACUGGUGUUCGGGUUGUCAUGCCAAUGGCACUGCCCGGUAGCUAAAUGCGGAAGAGAUAAGUGCUGAAAGCAUCUAAGCACGAAACUUGCCCCGAGAUGAGUUCUCCCUGAGACUUUAGGUCUCCUGAAGGAACGUUGAAGACGACGACGUUGAUAGGCCGGGUGUGUAAGCGCAGCGAUGCGUUGAGCUAACCGGUACUAAUGAACCGUGAGGCUUAACCUU